CUCUACUUUUCACGCUACUCUCUGUUUUAGGUUCUUUUCUAAGGUUUCUUCUUCUCUCUCAGUUUCUAAACGCAUCUUCUCUGCAGCUUCUUCUCUCUCGCAGUCUCUCAACUUCUUCUCUUCCAAACCAACCACAAGAACCUAGAGCCACGACUGCUAAACAAAAGCCUUAGCGAGACCCCAAGAAAAGAAAAGAAACAGACCUGCUUCAGGGUAUUUCUCCAUUCUAGCCGCAUAACUGAAGAAACAUAGUGCUUCAAUUCCAGCCGCCUAACAGAGUAUUUAUCUGCCCGGGUGAUGGUGUUAGCCUAGAGUAUUGAGUCUAUCAAAAAGGGAAAGAAAGUUCCAAGCUUCACUAGUAAAAGGGCUGGGAGGUCUGAACACACAAGGCAUUCUUGUUGGUCUGAACAAAGUAAUAUUUUGAGGGAAAUUCUUAGCUAGUCCAGGACUACAGGUCAUCUUGCUGAGCUUGUAGUCUGGACCAAUUAAAAUGAGACACCUAAGAGAAAGUGCUGAUAUCAUUUAACAGGAUACCAAGUCAGCAAUAGAGUUAAUGGUGUUUAGUGUGUUGCUAUUCUGUUAGAUUUGAAUUCAAAUCUCAACCCUUCAGUUCCCCUUCAAGUACCUGAUAUUGAGACGUUUGUGAAAAUCCCACUUGUUGUCAAAGUCCAUACUUUUCUUCCAAAUACUUCAAUUUAUCAUGUUGAUAUUGCUUCUUCAUAUGUUAAAACUGGAGAGAGGCAUUAUCUUAGUUGCUUCUGGUGCCACUGCAAAUUGAGCAUAACUUUAUAUAUUUCUUAAAGCAUUUGGUUGGUUUGAAUUGCAAUUACA